rnacentral:other from 2 species
GCCCACCCGGGCCGCGCAACGUUUAUCGCCCCGGAAGGUAAUCAAAAUAAAAUGGGACCUUGCCUUCGAUGCUGGCCGUCAGGCCUUGACUGGAAGUCUUAAGGCAUCGAUUGGGUACCCACCUAGGAAUCAUCGUUCCACGGGCCAGUUUGCGCGGUUUGGGUUGGGU